rnacentral:rRNA from 1 species
UACAGAGGGUGCAAGCGUUAAUCGGAAUUACUGGGCGUAAAGCGUGCGUAGACGGUUAUGUAAGUCGGGUGUGAAAGCCCCGGGCUCAACCUGGGAAUUGCAUUCGAGACUGCAUAGCUAGGGUGCGGAAGAGGGAAGCGGAAUUUCCGGUGUAGCGCUGAAAUGCGUAGAUAUCGGAAGGAACACCAGUGGCGAAAGCGGCUUCCUGGGUCUCUUCUGACGCUGAGGUACGAAAGCCAGGGGAGCGAAGGGG